GGGGGGGCAAGCGUUGUUCGGAAUUACUGGGCGUAAAGGGCGCGCAGGCGGCCUGGCCAGUCCUACGUGAAAUCCCACAGCUCAACUGUGGAACUGCGUGGGAUACUGCCAAGCUUGAGUCCGGGAGAGGAGAGUGGAAUUCCCAGUGUAGCGGUGAAAUGCGUAGAUAUUGGGAGGAACACCGGUGGCGAAGGCGGCUCUCUGGACCGGCACUGACGCUGAGGCGCGAAAGCUAGGGGGAGCAAACGGGAUUAGAUACCCCGGUAGUCCUAGCCCUAAACGAUGAGCACUUGGUGUGGCGGGUAUCGACCCCCUGCCGUGCCGAAGCUAACGCAUUAAGUGCUCCGCCUGGGAUACGGUGCAAGGCUG
rnacentral:rRNA from 1 species